GGCUUGAUAGCUUAGUUGGUAAAGCGCUCGUCUAGCGUGCAAGAAUCCUGGGUUCGAAUCCCAGCCGAGCAU
rnacentral:tRNA from 1 species